AAGACCUUGCACUUUUGGAGCGGCCGAUGUCUGAUUAGCUAGUUGGUGGGGUAAUGGCCUACCAAAGCCUCGAUCAGUAGCUGGUCUGAGAGGACGGCCAGCCACACUGGGACUGAGACACGGCCCAGACUCCUACGGGAGGCAGCAGUGGGGAAUUUUGGACAAUGGGCGCAAGCCUGAUCCAGCCAUGCCGCGUGAGUGAAGAAGGCCUUCGGGUUGUAAAGCUCUUUCAGCCGGGAAGAAAAGGUUGCGACUAAUAAUCGCAAUCCAUGACGGUACCGAAAGAAGAAGCACCGGCUAACUACGUGCCAGCAGCCGCGGUAAUACGUAGGGUGCGAGCGUUAAUCGGAAUUACUGGGCGUAAAGGGUGCGCAGGCGGUUUUGUAAGUCAGAUGUGAAAUCCCCGGGCUUAACCUGGGAACU
rnacentral:rRNA from 1 species